ensembl:lncRNA
GGGGACAGAAGAGAGGUGGUGGGACAGAAGAGAGGUGGUGGGGACAGAAGAGAGGUGGCGGGGACAGAAGAGAGGUGGUGGGAUGGGAGAGAGGUGGCGGGGACAGAAGAGAGGUGGCGGGGAUGGGAGAGAGGUGGCGGGGACAGAAGAGAGGUGGUGGGGACAGAAGAGAGGUGGUGGGAUGGGAGAGAGGUGGCGGGGACAGGAGAGAGGUGGUGGGGACAGAAGAGAGGUGGUGGGGACGGGAGAGAGGUGGUGGGGACAGGAGAGAGGUGGGGGGACAGGGAGAGAGGUGGUGGGACGGGAGAGAGGUGGCGGGGACGGGAGAGAGGUGGCGGGACGGGAGAGAGGUGGUGGGACGGGAGAGAGGUGGCGGGACAGAAGAGAGGUGGUGGGACAGAAGAGAGGUGGUGGGGACGGGAGAGAGGUGGUGGGGACAGGAGAGAGGUGGUGGGGACGGGAGAGAGGUGGUGGGGACAGGAGAGAGGUGGCGGG